rnacentral:rRNA from 1 species
GACGAACGCUGGCGGCGUGCUUAACACAUGCAAGUCGAACGGAAAGGCCUUUUCGGAGGUACUCGAGUGGCGAACGGGUGAGUAACACGUGGGUGAUCUGCCCUGCACUCUGGGAUAAGCCUGGGAAACUGGGUCUAAUACCGGAUAGGACCGCACUUUAGUGUGUGUGGUGGAAAGUUUUUUCGGUGUAGGAUGAGCCCGCGGCCUAUCAGCUUGUUGGUGGGGUAAUGGCCCACCAAGGCGGCGACGGGUAGCCGGACUGAGAGGUUGGUCGGCCACAUUGGGACUGAGAUACGGCCCAGACUCCUACGGGAGGCAGCAGUGGGGAAUAUUGCACAAUGGGCGCAAGCCUGAUGCAGCGACGCCGCGUGGGGGAUGACGGCCUUCGGGUUGUAAACUCCUUUCGCCAGGGACGAAGCGUUUUGUGACGGUACCUGGAGAAGAAGCACCGGCUAACUACGUG